rnacentral:rRNA from 1 species
GACAGAGGGGGCAAGCGUUGCUCGGAAUCACUGGGCGUAAAGGGCGCGUAGGCGGGAUGGCAAGUCGGUCGUGAAAUCCCUCGGCUCAACCGAAGAACGUCGGCCGAUACUGCCGUUCUUGAGGGAUGCAGAGGAGAUUGGAAUUCCCGGUGUAGCGGUGAAAUGUGUAGAGAUCGGGAGGAACACCGGUGGCGAAGGCGGGUCUCUGGGCAUCUCCUGACGCUGAGGCGCGAAAGCGUGGGGAGCAAACGGG